rnacentral:rRNA from 1 species
GACAGAGGUGCCGAGCGUUAGGCGGAAUCACUGGGCGUAAAGGGUGCGUAGGCGGGUUUUUAAGUCAGGGGUGAAAUCCUGGAGCUCAACUCCAGAACUGCCUUUGAUACUGAAGAUCUUGAGUUCGGGAGAGGUGAGUGGAACUGCGAGUGUAGAGGUGAAAUUCGUAGAUAUUCGCAAGAACACCAGUGGCGAAGGCGGCUCACUGGCCCGAUACUGACGCUGAGGCACGAAAGCGUGGGGAGCAAACAGG